rnacentral:rRNA from 1 species
UACGUAGGGGGCGAGCGUUGUCCGGAUUUACUGGGCGUAAAGGGUGAGUAGGCGGUUGUAUAUGUCAGGUGUAAAAGGCUAUGGCUUAACCAUGGUUAGCACUUGAAACUGUACAACUUGAGUGCAGGAGAGGUAAGUGGAAUUCCUAGUGUAGCGGUGAAAUGCGUAGAUAUUAGGAGGAACACCAGUGGCGAAGGCGGGUAACUGGACUGCAACUGACGCUGAGGCGCGAAGGUGUGGGGAGCAAACAGGAUUAGAUACCCCCGUAGUCCCUGAG